rnacentral:rRNA from 1 species
AGAGUUUGAUCCUGGCUCAGGAUGAACGCUAGCGGCAGGCUUAAUACAUGCAAGUCGAACGGUAAGGUCUCUUCGGAGAUACACGAGUGGCGCACGGGUGCGUAACGCGUAUGCAACCUACCUUUAACUGGGAAAUAGCCCCGAGAAAUCGGGAUUAAUGUCCCAUAUUAUUCUGAGAAUGCAUAUUCUUGGAAUGAAAGCUCCGGCGGUUAUUGAUGGGCAUGCGUGACAUUAGCUAGUUGGUGAGGUAACGGCUCACCAAGGCUACGAUGUCUAGGGGUCCUGAGAGGGUUAACCCCCACACUGGUACUGAGACACGGACCAGACUCCUACGGGAGGCAGCAGUAAGGAAUAUUGGGCAAUGGACGCAAGUCUGACCCAGCCAUGCCGCGUGAAGGAUGAAUGUCCUAUGGAUUGUAAACUUCUUUUAUGCAGGAAAAACAUCCCGGUCGUGAACCGGGACUGAUGGUACUGUAUGAAUAAGCAUCGGCUAACUCCGUGCCAGCAGCCGCGGUAAUACGGAGGAUGCAAGCGUUAUCCGGAUUCAUUGGGUUUAAAGGGUGCGCAGGCGGAAUGAUAAGUCAGUGGUGAAAUCUCCCGGCUCAACCGGGAAACUGCCAUUGAUACUGUCGUUCUUGAGUACAGUUGAAGUGGGCGGAAUGUGUCAUGUAGCGGUGAAAUGCUUAGAUAUGACACAGAACACCGAUAGCGAAGGCAGCUCACUAAGCUGUAACUGACGCUCAUGCACGAAAGCGUGGGGAUCAAACAGGAUUAGAUACCCUGGUAGUCCACGCUGUAAACGAUGAUCACUCGUUGUUGGCGAUAUACUGUCAGCGACUGAGCGAAAGCAUUAAGUGAUCCACCUGGGGAGUACGGCGGCAACGUUGAAACUCAAAGGAAUUGACGG